ACCUGGGUGGCUCAGUCGGUUGAGCAUCCGACUUCGGCUCAGAUCAUGAUCUCACGGACUGUGGGUUCGAGCCCCGCGUCAGGCU
rfam:Felis catus isolate Cinnamon breed Abyssinian chromosome A2, whole genome shotgun sequence.